rnacentral:rRNA from 1 species
GACGAACGCUGGCGGCGUGCUUAACACAUGCAAGUCGAGCGGUAAGGCCUUUCGGGGUACACGAGCGGCGAACGGGUGAGUAACACGUGGGUGACCUGCCCUUCACUCUGGGAUAAGCCUGGGAAACUGGGUCUAAUACCGGAUAGGACUACUGGAUGCAUGUCUGGUGGUGGAAAGCUAGUUACUUUUGUUUCUGGCGGUGGGGGAGUGGGCCCGCGGCCUAUCAGCUUGUUGGGUGGGGUGANGGCCUACCAAGGCGGUGACGGGUAGCCGGCCUGAGAGGG